UAACUAUUUUUCCAAAAGUCGUUAACUGCUAGUCUUUUUCAAUUGGAGAAAGGGAGGCAGAAGGCUCUGCAAAGCUGCUCCUCCUAUGGGGCUGACAGCCACCCCAGUACAGCAUGCUCUCGGAUCACUCCUUGGAGCCUUAGAUUCAGACUGACUUCAGAUGAGCAUGCUGUACAAUCAUAAAAAUGUAGAUUUGAAGUCCUCAAACUCCACGCAGGAAACAAUUCUGAGACCUCUCUCCUUAACUAUCUUCUAGGUUCUGCUUAAACACUACCAAUCUGGAAAGCUCACCCCUCAGGGAGGCGGUACGUUCUCUUGCCGAGCCUCGCACACCAUUAGUAAAUCUCCUUACACGAACCUGAGCCAUUGCUGUGCAAGCUCUGCGCCCAGGAGCUACCCAGGAAAGCCUACCGUCUGAACCUGCUGUGGUUAGCCACUUUACAUGUCUCUCUCCUUACAAAUUCUACCUUCUUCUUUUGUGUUCCCAUCCAGUUACCCUGUGAAGUAACAAAAGCCUCAAGACCUGCAAGGCUCAUAACCCUGAAGGCUUACCCAGGCCAGUGGAAUGAGCCCAAAGCACCUUUCCUGCCUUACUCCCACCCCUGCGCAGUGCACCGCGGCACCUGCAUGGACACCAUCUCCCUGCCCAGAGGGCCUUGCCAUCUACGCUCCAGCUUGAAUCCGAGCACGGGAAGGCCCAAGCAAUGCUGCAGUGGCCCUGCCACCUUACAGCAGGGGAUGGAAACCACGCCCACAGCCUGGCAGAGCAGCCCGCUGGAAGGAGGAGGGAACUCGGUGACUUCUCAAGUGCCUGCAUCUGCCCCCACUGCCAGCCGUCCCUGGAUCUUUUAUGAUGUGAGGAAAAAUAAGUCUCAGCUUGCUUAUGCUGCUGUGGUCAGGUUUCUGUACCACUUUAUUGUGGGAAUUGAAUAAGAAAAUAUGUGUGAGCACCUAGCACUAUGCUUGACUUAGUAAGUGCUCACUAAGUGUUAGCUGCUCUCGUUACUUCAAACCCCAACUUAAGUCCCAAGGGCCCACUGUGCAAUCACCCUUCUCAAAGUGCCCUGCGAACACUGUUUUGGACUUUGCAUUAGACACAUGGAAGCCUUAAGUUUCUUCUACUGCUGUGUAAUUUCUGUACUGUUAUUAAACUUUUAUUUCCUAACUGCAGUUAAAUAACAAGCUGCAGGCGCACUGUGUGAUACUUUCUGCUUGGCCCAGUUUUCUGU